CGGAUGGUCGGGCCCCGGUCCGGAUUGCUCACCCAGCCAAAAGGACGCCGGGUCUGAUCCACCGAAAACGGCGUCGGGCAGGAUCCCGGACGGAGAGUCCGGGUGUCCGGGAGCCUCACCUUGCUGCGGAUGCUGUUGGAGAUGCGCGUUGCCCCCCAACAAAGGAUUCAUGCUAUGACAGGGACAUGGCUCCUUCUCCUCUUCCAGCUGGGGCAGUCUGAGACGCUGAUGCUCCCUUGAAGAGAAGAUUAAAAAGAAAACAGAAUAACUAUUUGCCCUUGGUGGAAAGAGCCCAUACUUCUUUUCAGAACAAACAGGUGCCAGUAUAGUGGACGCGUUCCUUACUGUCACAGCUUUCCUUCCUCCCCUGCAUUCGCCUUCUCUUCGCCUUCUCUUCUCCAAAAAGCAUCGCGUAGAUGUCAUUCCUGAACUCCCUGUUCAUGAUCUGGUAGAUCAACGGGUUGAUCAUGCAGUGGGACUUGGCAAACAAAACGGGGAUCAAGGUGACCACGGGGGGGAGGGAGGAGGACGGCUGGGGGCUCUUGCUCAGUGGUGCGGCCUCUCUGUCAAGGGUGGACCUGAACGUGGCGUCGCUCAGGCCUGUGACGGAAUUAAUGUUGUUCACACUGCUCCACUUUUCCUCGGGGCCGUAGUGGAUUUGUCUGUAAUAUUCGGCAGCGGUCCAGUUGAGCAGUGAGGGGAUGUCGAGGAUCUUCGGAGCCCUUGGAGAGCCCGGGGUCAUUUCAGUCGACUCCGCCACGACAGUCUGCAGAGAUGCCUCUUGAUCAUCUCUGGGAACGAGUGCGGAGAACAGAGACACGGCAGCGUAGGGCAUCCAGGCCAGGAGGAAGGUGGUGCACACCACAGCAGCUAUCUGAAAUCAACAAAAUGCCUUUUUUUUUUUCAUCCUGCAAUAUGUUCAUUUAUGAAUCUAAAAAAACCUCCUUGGUGGGGUUUACUUUUGUAAGUUUGAGUUCUUUGCCGGUGUGAGUGACAGAAGAGGACGGGAUGGACGCCAGAGUGCGUUUAGAUCUGUGGACCUGAAAACAGAAGCAACAGUUAAUGCUCCAAUUAUGACAACAAUUCACAAGCACUAACAAAGUCAACAUAACUCCCAUAUUUAUAUGUUAAAGCCAUUAUGUAACAAUGAUGUAAUAAUUUCUCAUUCCAAUUUUAGUUUAUUUUAAAUUGUUUGGGGCAUUUUGUCACUUCUUGCCUUGCAAAUCUAUUAACAUUUAUGUUAUUUAUGCUUCCAAGUCUGUGUGGUUCCUCGUCCUGAUUGGCCACUGUGUCUCUCUUGUUUGUCUAUUGAUGCCAUUAAAGUUGUUUCUGUGCACACUUUG